UACUUGGUGGGUGUUUAAAACAAUGU
rnacentral:piRNA from 1 species